rnacentral:rRNA from 1 species
UAAGCCGUUGAAGGUGAAUCGUAAGGUUUGCUGGAGGUAUCAGAAGUGCGAAUGCUGACAUGAGUAACGACAAAGGGGGUGAAAAACCUCCUCGCCGGAAGACCAAGGGUUCCUGUCCAACGUUAAUCGGGGCAGGGUGAGUCGACCCCUAAGGUGAGGCCGAAAGGCGUAAUCGAUGGGAAACGGGUUAAUAUUCCCGUACUUCUGACUAUUGCGAUGGGGGGACGGAGAAGGCUAGGUGGGCCAGGCGACGGUUGUCCUGGUUCAAGUGCGUAGGCUUGAGAGUUAGGUAAAUCCGGCUCUCUCUAAGGCUGAGACACGACGUCGAGCUACUACGGUAGUGAAGUCAUUGAUGCCAUGCUUCCAGGAAAAGCCUCUAAGCUUCAGAUAGUCAGGAAUCGUACCCCAAACCGACACAGGUGGUCGGGUAGAGAAUACCAAGGCGCUUGAGAGAACUCGGGUGAAGGAACUAGGCAAAAUGGUACCGUAACUUCGGGAGAAGGUACGCUCUUGAUGGUGAAGUCCCUCGCGGAUGGAGCUGACGAGAGUCGCAGAUACCAGGUGGCUGCAACUGUUUAUUAAAAACACAGCACUGUGCAAAAUCGCAAGAUGACGUAUACGGUGUGACGCCUGCCCGGUGCCGGAAGGUUAAUUGAUGGGGUUAGC